CACCAGUCUGAGUCCUUGAGCCUCUGCAGCCUCAGAAGAGGGAGUCUUUAGCUGAAACCUCCAGGAACCAAGGGCCCAGAAGGCUUCUCAGGAUGGAUGUCACCCGCUUACUCCUGGCCACCCUCGUGGGCUUCCUGUGCUUCCUCACCGUCCACAGCCACCUGGUAUUUGAGGAGACGCUUGGAGAUGACAGGAGUCUAACUCACUGGAUUUCUCCUCUGUUUCCAUUGUGGCACUGAACAAGAAAUCCAAGAAGAUCAGCAGAAAAGAAGCGGAGAAGCGGAAGAGGUCUUCCAAGAAAAAGGCUUCGAUAAAGAAGGUGGCACGGCCCCCGCCACCUUCGCCCUGCGUGGCCACCCGCGACAGCUGCAAGCCGCCUGCGCCCGCCUGCUGCAACCCGUGCGCCUCCUGCCAGUGCCGUUUCUUCGGCAGCGCCUGCACUUGCCGCGUACUCAACCCCAACUGCUGAUCCCGCUGCUGCGCUGCGCUGCGCUGCGCUGCGCGCGCAGCUUCUGAAACAGGGUGACUGGGCGGGACCUCAGGGUCCCGCGCUUCUAGACUGAGGGGCGGGUCUCUGCGGGUGGGGCUUAUAGGUGGGCGUGGCCAGUGGUUGUGAGUUGUGGGCGCUUUCAGAAGAUGGGUUUUCUAGGAAACUUAGUGGAGGCUAAAAUCAGAAUACAGUAUUUUUAGACUG